UUACGAUCAGGUGCAAUAUCAAUGUUGUACUGAAAUUGUUUGACAAAAUCCUGGGCCAUGUCAUCCCAAACAUGCCAAUGAGAGAUGUCUUGGUCGGUGAACCAUUCAGAAGCUACACCCACAAGGCUUUCUCCAAAGUAAGUCAUUAGCAGCUCUUCCUUUCCUCCUACAUCCCUCAACUGAUUGCAAUACCUUUUCAAGUGGGCGAUAGGGUCGCCGUGUCCGUCAUAUUUCUCAAAUUUUG
rnacentral:lncRNA from 1 species